CGGGGUGGAGUAAUGUCUGGGAAACUGCCUGAUGGAGGGGGGUAACUACUGGAAACGGUAGCUAAUACCGCAUAAUGUCGCAAGACCAAAGUGGGGGACCUUCGGGCCUCUUGCCAUCGGAUGUGCCCAGAUGGGAUUAGCUAGUAGGUGGGGUAACGGCUCACCUAGGCGACGAUCCCUAGCUGGUCUGAGAGGAUGACCAGCCACACUGGAACUGAGACACGGUCCAG
rnacentral:rRNA from 1 species